rnacentral:rRNA from 1 species
AAUCAACCGAGAUUCCCCCAGUAGCGGCGAGCGAACGGGGAGGAGCCCAGAGCCUGAAUCAGCAUGUGUGUUAGUGGAAGCGUCUGGAAAGGCGCGCGAUACAGGGUGACAGCCCCGUACACAAAAGCGCAUGUGCUGUGAGCUCGAUGAGUAGGGCGGGACACGUGGUAUCCUGUCUGAAUAUGGGGGGACCAUCCUCCAAGGCUAAAUACUCCUGACUGACCGAUAGUGAACCAGUACCGUGAGGGAAAGGCGAAAAGAACCCCGGCGAGGGGAGUGAAAAAGAACCUGAAACCGUGUACGUACAAGCAGUGGGAGCACAGGUUUACCUGUGUGACUGCGUACCUUUUGUAUAAUGGGUCAGCGACUUAUAUUCUGUAGCAAGGUUAACCGAAUAGGGGAGCCGGAGGGAAACCGAGUCUUAACCGGGCGUUAAGUUGCAGGGUAUAGACCCGAAACCCGGUGAUCUAGCCAUGGGCAGGUUGAAGGUUGGGUAACACUAACUGGAGGACCGAACCGACUAAUGUUGAAAAAUUAGCGGAUGACCUGUGGCUGGGGGUGAAAGGCCAAUCAAACCGGGAGAUAGCUGGUUCUCCCCGAAAGCUAUUUAGGUAGCGCCUCGUGAAUUCAUCUCCGGGGGUAGAGCACUGUUUCGGCUAGGGGGCCAUCCCGGCUUACCAACCCGAUGCAAACUGCGAAUACCGGAGAAUGUUAUCACGGGAGACACACGGCGGGUGCUAACGUCCGUCGUGAAGAGGGAAACAACCCAGACCGCCAGCUAAGGUCCCAAAGUCAUGGUUAAGUGGGAAACGAUGUGGGAAGGCCCAGACAGCCAGGAUGUUGGCUUAGAAGCAGCCAUCAUUUAAAGAAAGCGUAAUAGCUCACUGGUCGAGUCGGCCUGCGCGGAAGAUGUAACGGGGCUAAACCAUGCACCGAAGCUGCGGCAGCGAACGUAUCACUUAAAGCGAUUCAGCGGGUUACGAUUGACGGAGCGAAGCGACGUCAAAGCGUAUACAAAGUCGAGUCGGUUUAAGGAUACGUUCGUUGGGUAGGGGAGCGUUCUGUAAGCCUGCGAAGGUGGCCUGUGAGGGUUGCUGGAGGUAUCAGAAGUGCGAAUGCUGACAUAAGUAACGAUAAAGCGGGUGAAAAGCCCGCUCGCCGGAAGACCAAGGGUUCCUGUCCAACGUUAAUCGGGGCAGGGUGAGUCGACCCCUAAGGCGAGGCCGAAAGGCGUAGUCGAUGGGAAACGGGUUAAUAUUCCCGUACUUGGUGUUACUGCGAAGGGGGGACGGAGAAGGCUAUGUUGGCCGGGCGACGGUUGUCCCGGUUUAAGCGUGUAGGUGUGUGUUCCAGGUAAAUCCGGUUCACUUUAACACUGAGGCGUGAUGACGAGGCACUACGGUGCUGAAGUAACAAAUGCCCUGCUUCCAGGAAAAGCCUCUAAGCAUCAGGUAACAUCAAAUCGUACCCCAAACCGACACAGGUGGUCAGGUAGAGAAUACCAAGGCGCUUGAGAGAACUCGGGUGAAGGAACUAGGCAAAAUGGUGCCGUAACUUCGGGAGAAGGCACGCUGACACGUAGGUGAAGUGAUUUACUCACGGAGCUGAAGUCAGUCGAAGAUACCAGCUGGCUGCAACUGUUUAUUAAAAACACAGCACUGUGCAAACACGAAAGUGGACGUAUACGGUGUGACGCCUGCCCGGUGCCGGAAGGUUAAUUGAUGGGGUCAGCGCAAGCGAAGCUCCUGAUCGAAGCCCCGGUAAACGGCGGCCGUAACUAUAACGGUCCUAAGGUAGCGAAAUUCCUUGUCGGGUAAGUUCCGACCUGCACGAAUGGCGUAAUGAUGGCCAGGCUGUCUCCACCCGAGACUCAGUGAAAUUGAACUCGCUGUGAAGAUGCAGUGUACCCGCGGCAAGACGGAAAGACCCCGUGAACCUUUACUAUAGCUUGACACUGAACAUUGAGCCUUGAUGUGUAGGAUAGGUGGGAGGCUUUGAAGUGUGGACGCCAGUCUGCAUGGAGCCGACCUUGAAAUACCACCCUUUAAUGUUUGAUGUUCUAACGUGGACCCGUUACCCGGGUUGCGGACAGUGUCUGGUGGGUAGUUUGACUGGGGCGGUCUCCUCCUAAAGAGUAACGGAGGAGCACGAAGGUUGGCUAAUCCUGGUCGGACAUCAGGAGGUUAGUGCAAUGGCAUAAGCCAGCUUGACUGCGAGCGUGACGGCGCGAGCAGGUGCGAAAGCAGGUCAUAGUGAUCCGGUGGUUCUGAAUGGAAGGGCCAUCGCUCAACGGAUAAAAGGUACUCCGGGGAUAACAGGCUGAUACCGCCCAAGAGUUCAUAUCGACGGCGGUGUUUGGCACCUCGAUGUCGGCUCAUCACAUCCUGGGGCUGAAGCAGGUCCCAAGGGUAUGGCUGUUCGCCAUUUAAAGUGGUACGCGAGCUGGGUUUAGAACGUCGUGAGACAGUUCGGUCCCUAUCUGCCGUGGGCGCUGGAGAACUGAGGGGGGCUGCUCCUAGUACGAGAGGACCGGAGUGGACGCAUCACUGGUGUUCGGGUUGUCAUGCCAAUGGCACUGCCCGGUAGCUAAAUGCGGAAGAGAUAAGUGCUGAAAGCAUCUAAGCACGAAACUUGCCCCGAGAUGAGUUCUCCCUGAGACUUAGAGUCUCCUGAAGGAACGUUGAAGACGACGACGUUGAUAGGCCGGGUGUGUAAGCGCAGCGAUGCGUUGAGCUAACCGGUACUAAUGAACCGUGAGGCUUAACCUUACAACGCCGAAG